AAGGUAUUUGUAAUCUGGCAAACGAGCCUCAGAACGCAUACUAUAACUGAAUGAACAACUAUCACCAAGAGAGGCAUUAUUACGAACAGGGUCGCAACUACAUAUUAUUCAGGUGGAAGCGAACUUGGGGAGGGGCGCCCCUCUUGGGACGCGCCCCCUGGUCCAGCGCCACCAUGCGCUGCAUGCCCACUUUUUGCGGAACUGUUUACGAACCACGCAUGACAAUAAAACUCUGCCAAGUCGGUAGUACGGGUUCCUCUCCCAAUCGGCAGGUUGUUGGUUCGAUCUCCGCUCCAUCUCGUCUGUACCUGGGGAUGCAGUUCCCAUCUGCACCGUCACUGCAGAUGGGGGGUCAAGAAGUAAAUGCAGCCCGUUCACCCUUUGAGACAGCUUCAAAAUGCCAAAAGUCUGUGAUGUGUUGGUGGUUCUAGAGACAGAGAUUAAUGUUACUUUCAUGUUUCUAAAGUCGUUGGUCACAACAGAGUUAAAUUUAAAAACUACCGGGAAAAGUGGAUCAACAGUCUUAAAAACAGGAGGUAACUCGGUGCCAGAGUUUGCAGCGACCAAUGAAUAACCAAGCUUUCUUUUGAUGGAAGUACUGCCACCUUUUGUUGAGUUACAGUGGUGCAAGUUCCUCUUUAACUUCUCUGCUCUGUUUUUCCUUCCUGCAGCUCAGGAGAACAUCAGAGCUGAAACUGGGCAGGAUGUGAUUCUGCCGUGCCAAACUCCUGACAACAAUCCUGUCAUAGUCAUCCAGUGGAGGAGAAAUGAUUCGGUAUCAGAAUACGUUCUUCUGUUCAGAGACGAUCAGCUGGAUCCAGACAACCAGCAGCCGACUUUUAGGAACCGAGUGGAUCUGCUGUUCAGGCCGAUAAAAGACAGAAACGCGUCUUUGGUCCUGAAGAACGUGACGGCUGACGAUAAGGGAACCUACGAAUGUUGAGUUAUUGAGAGAGAACCGGGGAAAGAGAGCAGGUCUAACAUCUGAACCAGUCAGCAUCGUCAACCUGGACGUUGUUCCUCCUGGCCAAAAAGACGACCAAGAAGAAAACCAUGUCAGCUAUCGAAGACGUGAUGCUCUGAUCGGCGUGGCUGUCCUUUUCGCUGCUGCAGCUUCUGCUGCAGCUGGAGGAAAAUUAAAAUGGAGCUAUCUGCAGAGGAACAUCAGAUGAAAGAGCUUCCCUGAUCAAAUUUCACUUCUCUGUAAUUUUAGGCAGCGAAAUAAAAUGUUUUAAAAAUGUUGACUA